rnacentral:rRNA from 1 species
UGCCCAGUCGUAAACUAUUACUUACUUUUACACCGCCCGGGUACUACGAGCAAAGCUUAAAACCCAAAGGACUUGACGGUACCCCAAACCCCUCUAGAGGAGCCUGUCCUACAAUUGAUACCCCCCGCUCUACCUCACCACUUUUAGCUUAUUCAGCCUGUAUACUUCCGUCGCCAGCUUACCACAUGAGCGUAACAAAGUAAGCCUAAUGGACUCACCAAAACGUCAGGUCAAAGUGCAGCAAAUAAACUGGGAAGAGAUUGGCUACACUUUUUAACUUUAAAAGAAACGAAAAACUAUGUGAAACCAUAGUCUAAAGGCGGAUUUAGUAGUAAAAAGAAAACAGAGUGUUCUAUUUAACCCGGCACUGGGGUGUGU